ACUAUAUCAUCACCAGGCACCUAUACAAUAGGACUUGGUCCAAUAGACAAGCCCAACUAUAUAUCAAUUCCAAGCAGGGGUUGGUUUGUUUCGUUUCUUCCUGUUCAUGUAUAGGCAGAACGACUUCGUUUCAACUUCUGUGAAUAGGGUAAUUCCAAGGAUGUUGCAGAUGACUAGUACGUAGAGUCCGAGCCCAUGAUUCCAGAUUAUUGUGAUUGAUUUGAUAUAGGAGUCUCUUACUGGAAAGGGUGGAGAUCCAAUGAGAUGCUGAUGGUUGUUGUAUUCGGAUGUUUCAUGUGUCUAUCUACCUUUCUGUUUGCUCCGAGGGCUCUUUUCAGCACAUUCCCUAGAUCACUUGGAUACAAAGACGACCUGCUGGCACUACUUAUUUCAAGUUACUUCAAGAUGUUUCUAUUUGCAAUACUGGUGUGGGAAUGUCCUUCUAUGACUUUGAACAUUGAUUUAUGUUAUCCUCCAACACAGUGGCACUCAAAGGUCAGAUGAUAAAGUAUUUACAGUCUUGGUCAUCAUUUUACAUUUUUCAAUUCCAUAUCUAGGUCAUUAUUUGUUCCUGCUGGUAUCUGCUAAAUGUAUAUAUCCAUGAAGUUUAGUGCUGUGGAAUAUGUUCAUGAUGUGCAUGGAUACUUUUCCUUGAUUUGAUGAUGUGAAGGUGUGCAUUAGUGAUAACUCGGUCAGCUAUGAGUAGAUGUAUCGCAGCCUUCUUCAGUGCUUAUGUUGUAAAGUCUUUGCGAACUUUUAGAUGUUUUAUCACUUUUUGUUUGUUAUAAGACAGUCCUUCUUUGAGAACAAGUAUUUUUGUUAAUUAUGUCCUCCAAAGGCAGGGGCAGUGAGACAAGUAUUCAAUAUGAGUGCUGUAAAAUAUGAUGUAGUAAAGAUAUACAAUGUUCGUCCUUUAAGAAAUAGAUUUGUGAUAUAGUUGAUUGAAUC